rnacentral:rRNA from 1 species
AGAGUUUGAUCCUGGCUCAGGACGAACGCUGGCGGCGUGCUUAACACAUGCAAGUUGAACGAGACGAUUGAAAGCUUGCUUUUGAAAGUCGAGUGGCAAACGGGUGAGUAACGCGUAGACAACCUGCCGUAAGGAUGGGGACAACAGUCCGAAAGGACUGCUAAUACCGAAUGUUGUAAAUCUUCCACAUGGAAGACUUACUAAAGGUGGCCUCUACUUGUAAGCUAUCGCUUUACGAUGGGUCUGCGUCUGAUUAGCUGGUUGGUGGGGUAACGGCCUACCAAGGCGACGAUCAGUAGCCGGUCUGAGAGGAUGAACGGCCACAUUGGAACUGAGACACGGUCCAGACUCCUACGGGAGGCAGCAGUGGGGAAUCUUCCGCAAUGGGCGCAAGCCUGACGGAGCAACGCCGCGUGAGUGAAGAAGGGUUUCGACUCGUAAAGCUCUGUUGUCGGGGACGAACGUGGAGACGGCGAAUAGCCGUUUCCAAUGACGGUACCUGACGAGGAAGCCACGGCUAACUACGUGCCAGCAGCCGCGGUAAUACGUAGGUGGCGAGCGUUGUCCGGAAUUAUUGGGCGUAAAGGGAGCGCAGGCGGGAAGGUAAGUCUAUCUUAAAAGUGCGGGGCCCAACCCCGUGAGGGGAUGGAAACUAUCUUUCUUGAGUGCAGGAGAGGAAAGCGGAAUUCCUAGUGUAGCGGUGAAAAGCGUAGAUAUUAGGAGGAACACCAGUGGCGAAGGCGGCUUUCUGGACUGUAACUGACGCUGAGGCUCGAAAGCGUGGGGAGCGAACAGGAUUAGAUACCCUGGUAGUCCACGCCGUAAACGAUGAAUGCUAGGUGUAGGAGGUAUCGACCCCUUCUGUGCCGGAGUUAACGCAAUAAGCAUUCCGCCUGGGGAGUACGGCCGCAAGGCUGAAACUCAAAGGAAUUGACGGGGGCCCGCACAAGCGGUGGAGUAUGUGGUUUAAUUCGACGCAACGCGAAGAACCUUACCAGGGCUUGACAUUGAGUGAAAGGACAAGAGAUUGUCCCCUCUCUUCGGAGACACGAAAACAGGUGGUGCAUGGCUGUCGUCAGCUCGUGUCGUGAGAUGUUGGGUUAAGUCCCGCAACG